UACGUAGGCAGCACGCGUUGUUCGGAGUUACUGGGCGUAAAGGGUGCGUAGGCGGCCCUGUAAGUAUGGUGUGAAAUCUCCCGGCUUAACUGGGAGGGUGCGCUAUAGACUGCGGGGCUCGAGUGUGGGAGAGGAAAGUGGAAUUCCUGGUGUAGCGGUGAAAUGCGUAGAUAUCAGCAGGAAUACCCGUGGCGAAGGCGGCCCCCUGGGCCGAACCUGACGCUGAGGCGCGAAGGCUAGGGGAGCGAACGGG
rnacentral:rRNA from 1 species